UUAAUAAAUAGUAAGUAAUUUCAAGAAUAAAAUGGCUAGGGGUAAUUGUAACCCCUAGCUCAAAAUAUCCCAAACUCGCGUUUGGCUCUUUCAAUUUUAAUUAAUACGGCAAAACAAGUGCCCAGUAACGAGCUGCGGAAAUGCAACAUCUAUAGUGCGACAUGUCAGGAAAUAGUAUAGUUUACUCGCGCAAGAUGACAGACAUAAAUAUAUAUAUAUAUAUAUAUAU